rnacentral:rRNA from 1 species
CGAAAGCCUGACGGAGCAACGCCGCGUGAAGGACGAAGGCCUCUGGGCUGUAAACCUCUUUUCUCAAGGAGGAAGAUAUGACGGUACUUGAGGAAUAAGCCACGGCUAAUUCCGUGCCAGCAGCCGCGGUAAUACGGGAGUGGCAAGCGUUAUCCGGAAUUAUUGGGCGUAAAGCGUCCGCAGGCGGCUUUUCAAGUCUGCUGUUAAAGCGUGGAGCUUAACUCCAUCAUGGCAGUGGAAACUGAAAGGCUUGAGUAUGGUAGGGGCAGAGGGAAUUCCCGGUGUAGCGGUGAAAUGCGUAGAUAUCGGGAAGAACACCAGUGGCGAAGGCGCUCUGCUGGGCCAUUACUGACGCUCAUGGACGAAAGCCAGGGGAGCGAAAG